UACGUAGGGUGCAGGCGUUAAUCGGAAUUACUGGGCGUAAAGCGUGCGCAGGCGGUUUGCUAAGACAGGUGUGAAAUCCCCGGGCUUAACCUGGGAACUGCGCUUGUAACUGGCAAGCUAGAGUGUGGCAGAGGGGGGUGGAAUUCCACGUGUAGCAGUGAAAUGCGUAGAGAUGUGGAGGAACACCGAUGGCGAAGGCAGCCCGCUGGGCUAACACUGACGCUCAUGCACGAAAGCGUGGGGAGCAAACAGG
rnacentral:rRNA from 1 species